AAGAGGGGUUUUCCCUAGUAGCGGCGAGCGAAGCGGGAAGAGCUCAAAUUUAUAAUCUGGCACCUUCGGUGUCCGAGUUGUAAUCUCUAGAAGUGUUUUCCGCGUUGGACCGCACACAAGUCUGUUGGAAUACAGCGGCAUAGUGGUGAAACCCCCGUAUAUGGUGCGGACGCCCAGCGCUUUGUGAUACACUUUCAAUGAGUCGAGUUGUUUGGGAAUGCAGCUCAAAUUGGGUGGUAAAUUCCAUCUAAAGCUAAAUAUUGGCGAGAGACCGAUAGCGAACAAGUACCGUGAGGGAAAGAUGAAAAGCACUUUGGAAAGAGAGUUAACAGUACGUGAAAUUGUUGGAAGGGAAACGCUUGAAGUCAGACUUGCUUGCCGGAGCUUGCUUCGGUUUGCAGGCCAGCAUCAGUUUUCCGGGGUGGAUAAUAACGGUUUGAAGGUAGCAGUCUCGGCUGUGUUAUAGCUUUCCGUUGGAUACAUCCUGGGGGACUGAGGAACGCAGCGUGCUUUUUGCGAAAGACUCGUCUUUUUCACGCUUAGGAUGCUGGUGGAAUGGCUUUAAACGACCCGUCUUGAAACACGGACCAAA
rnacentral:rRNA from 1 species